rnacentral:rRNA from 1 species
UACGAGGGGGGCAAGCGUUGUUCGGAAUUAUUGGGCGUAAAGGGUGCGUAGGCGGUUUGGUAAGUCUUAUGUGAAAUCUACAGGCUCAACUUGUAGUCUGCAUGAGAAACUGCCGGGCUUGAGUAUGGCAGAGGGGGGUGGAAUUCCGCGUGUAGCAGUGAAAUGCGUAGAGAUGCGGAGGAACACCGAUGGCGAAGGCAGCCCCCUGGGCCAAUACUGACGCUCAGGCACGAAAGCGUGGGGAGCAAACAGG